rnacentral:rRNA from 1 species
UCGAGGAUCUUCGGCAAUGGGCGCAAGCCUGACCGAGCGACGCCGCGUGUGCGACGAAGGCCUUCGGGUUGUAAAGCACUGUCGCGGGGGAGGAAAGCCGCAAGGCCUGACCGACCCCGGGAGGAAGCACGGGCUAAGUUCGUGCCAGCAGCCGCGGUAAGACGAACCGUGCGAACGUUGUUCGGAUUCACUGGGCUUAAAGGGCGCGUAGGCGGGCGGCCAAGUCAGGGGUGAAAUCCUCCGGCCCAACCGGGGAACGGCUUCUGAUACUGGUCGCCUCGAGCGGGGUAGGGGCACGCGGAACUUCCGGUGGAGCGGUGAAAUGCGUAGAUAUCGGAAGGAACGCCGGUGGCGAAAGCGGCGUGCUGGACCCCCCCUGACGCUGAGGCGCGAAAGCCAGGGGAGCGAACGG